rnacentral:rRNA from 1 species
UACGUAGGGUGCGAGCGUUAAUCGGAAUUACUGGGCGUAAAGGGUGCGCAGGCGGUUCUGCAAGUCAGGCGUGAAAGCCCCGGGCUUAACCUGGGAAUGGCGCUUGAAACUACAGGACUGGAGUAUGGCAGAGGGAGGUGGAAUUCCACGUGUAGCGGUGAAAUGCGUAGAGAUGUGGAGGAACACCGAUGGCGAAGGCAGCCUCCGUGGGCCAAUACUGACGCUCAUGCACGAAAGCGUGGGGAGCAAACAGG